UGCUUCCUGUUGUCAGUGGCCGAGAGACCGCAUCGUCGGCUCGGAGGCUGAGGGGCUGCCGCAGCCGGGAGCCCCCCUCGCCUCGCUCCUCGCUCCGCUUGGUGUCAUGUGAUUCUCUGAGGGAGCAGCUGCGUGAGUGGAGAUGCUUUCAGUGGUGGAGAAUGGACUGGACCCCCAGGCUGCCAUCCCGGUCAUCAAGAAGAAGCUGGUGGGAUCCGUGAAAGCCUUGCAAAAGCAGUACGUGUCCCUGGACAUGGUGGUCACUAGUGAAGACGGAGAUGCCAACACCAUGUGCAGCGCCCUGGAGGCCGUAUUUAUCCAUGGCCUGCACACCAAGCACAUCCGAGCUGAGGCCGGAGGAAAAAGGAAGAAAAGUGCCCACCAGAAGCCUCUGCCCCAGCCUGUCUUCUGGCCCCUCCUGAAAGCUGUCACCCCCAAACACAUCAUCUCAGAGUUGGAGCACCUGACGUUUGUCAACAUGGAUGUGGGCCGCUGCCGGGCAUGGCUGCGGCUGGCCCUGAACAAUGGCCUGAUGGAGUGCUACCUGAAGCUGCUGCUGCAGGAGCAGGCCCGCUUGCAACUACAGCGGAAGGAAUCUCUGGAUUCCAUUUCCCAUUCUUCAGGCUCUGAAGACAUCGAAGUCCAUCACUCGGGCCAUAAGAUACGGAGGAACCAGAAGCCGACUGCCUCCUCCCUCAGCCUGGACACGGCCAGUUCAUCCCAGCUGUCCUGCAGCCUAAACUCUGAUAGCUGCUUACUCCAAGAGAAUGGCUCCAAGAGUCCAGACCAUUGCGAGGAGCCCAUGUCCUAUGACUCAGACCUGGGCACAGCAAAUGCUGAGGACUCAGACCAGUCUCUGCAAGACUGGGCACAGUGGCUCACGCCUGUAAUCCCAGCACCUUGGGAGGCCAAGGCAGGUGGAUCACGAGGUCAGGAGAUUGAGACCAUCCUGACUAACAUGGUGAAACCCCGUCUCUACUAAAAAUACAAAAAAUUAGCUGGGCAUGGUGGCGGGCGCCUGUAGUCCCAGCUACAUGGGCGGCUGAGGCAGGAGAAUGGCGUGAACCUGGGAGGUGGAGCUUGCAGUGAGCUGAGACCGCACCACUGCACUCCAGCCUGGGUGACAGAGUAAGACUCUGUCUCAAAAAUAAAUAAAUAAAUAAAUAAAUAAAUAAAUAAAAUAAAAAAUUUG
ensembl:lncRNA novel transcript